AUGCUACUUCCUUUGUCUGAAAUUACUUGUCAGAUAAAUGAAUAUAUAUAUCUAGACGUAUUUUAAUUCUAGAUACAUUCAUUUUCAUCCAUGUCUGUGACAAAUAAUUUCAGAUGGGUAAGGGAGUAUAUC
rnacentral:pre_miRNA from 1 species